rnacentral:snRNA from 1 species
GUGCCUUAAACUAAUGAGUAAGGAAAUUAACGAGCCUUGGUGACGCUUGGCUCCGCUGAGAUCACCUUAGCAUAAAUUUUUCUAGGGGUACAGGUCGUCCCACGGGCCGGCAGCCUACUUUGCUGCUGGCCUAGGCGAUUGCGAUCUGCCCC